AGCAAACGCUGGCGGCAGGCUUAACACAUGCAAGUCGAGCGGGCACCUUUCGGGGUGUCAGCGGCGGACGGGUGAGUAACGCGUGGGAACGUGCCCUCUGGUUCGGAAUAACUCAGGGAAACUUGAGCUAAUACCGGAUACGCCCUUUUGGGGAAAGGCUUGCUGCCGGAGGAUCGGCCCGCGUCUGAUUAGCUAGUUGGUGAGGUAACGGCUCACCAAGGCGACGAUCAGUAGCUGGUCUGAGAGGAUGAUCAGCCACACUGGGACUGAGACACGGCCCAGACUCCUACGGGAGGCAGCAGUGGGGAAUAUUGGACAAUGGGCGCAAGCCUGAUCCAGCCAUGCCGCGUGAGUGAUGAAGGCCUUAGGGUUGUAAAGCUCUUUUAUCCGGGACGAUAAUGACGGUACCGGAGGAAUAAGCCCCGGCUAACUUCGUG
rnacentral:rRNA from 1 species